rnacentral:rRNA from 1 species
AGAGUUUGAUCCUGGCUCAGGACGAACGCUGGCGGCGUGCCUAAUACAUGCAGGUCGAACGAAGCUUUCUUUCACCGAAUGCUUGCAUUCACCGAAAGAAGCUUAGUGGCGAACGGGUGAGUAACACGUAGGCAACCUGCCCAAAAGAGGGGGAUAACACUUGGAAACAGGUGCUAAUACCGCAUAACCAUGAACACCGCAUGAUGUUCGUGUAAAAGACGGCUUUUGCUGUCACUUUUGGAUGGGCCUGCGGCGUAUUAACUUGUUGGUGGGGUAACGGCCUACCAAGGUGAUGAUACGUAGCCGAACUGAGAGGUUGAUCGGCCACAUUGGGACUGAGACACGGCCCAAACUCCUACGGGAGGCAGCAGUAGGGAAUCUUCCACAAUGGACGAAAGUCUGAUGGAGCAACGCCGCGUGAAUGAAGAAGGCCUUCGGGUCGUAAAAUUCUGUUGUCAGAGAAGAAUGUGCGUGAGAGUAACUGUUCACGUAUUGACGGUAUCUGACCAGAAAGCCACGGCUAACUACGUGCCAGCAGCCGCGGUAAUACGUAGGUGGCAAGCGUUGUCCGGAUUUAUUGGGCGUAAAGGGAACGCAGGCGGUCUUUUAAGUCUGAUGUGAAAGCCUUCGGCUUAACCGAAGUAGUGCAUUGGAAACUGGAAGACUUGAGUGCAGAAGAGGAGAGUGGAACUCCAUGUGUAGCGGUGAAAUGCGUAGAUAUAUGGAAGAACACCAGUGGCGAAAGCGGCUCUCUGGUCUGUAACUGACGCUGAGGUUCGAAAGCGUGGGUAGCAAACAGGAUUAGAUACCCUGGUAGUCCACGCCGUAAACGAUGAGUGCUAAGUGUUGGAGGGUUUCCGCCCUUCAGUGCUGCAGCUAACGCAUUAAGCACUCCGCCUGGGGAGUACGGUCGCAAGACUGAAACUCAAAGGAAUUGACGGGGGCCCGCACAAGCGGUGGAGCAUGUGGUUUAAUUCGAAGCAACGCGAAGAACCUUACCAGGUCUUGACAUCUUCUGACAACUCCAGAGAUGGAACGUUCCCUUCGGGGACAGAAUGACAGGUGGUGCAUGGUUGUCAUCAGCUCGUGUCGUGAGAUGUUGGGUUAAGUCCCGCAACGAGCGCAACCCUUAUUGUCAGUUGCCAUCAUUAAGUUGGGCACUCUGGCGAGACUGCCGGUGGCAAACCGGAGGAAGGUGGGGAUGACGUCAAAUCAUCAUGCCCCUUAUGACCUGGGCUACACACGUGCUACAAUGGACGGUACAACGAGUCGCUAACUCGCGAGGGCAAGCUAAUCUCUUAAAGCCGUUCUCAGUUCGGAUUGCAGGCUGCAACUCGCCUGCAUGAAGUCGGAAUCGCUAGUAAUCGCGAAUCAGCAUGUCGCGGUGAAUACGUUCCCGGGCCUUGUACACACCGCCCGUCACACCAUGAGAGUUUGUAACACCCAAAGUCGGUGGGGUAACCUUUUGGAGCCAGCCGCCUAAGGUGGGACAGAUGAUUGGGGUGAAGUCGUAACAAGGUA